AUUAAUUUUUUUCUUAGAUUAUUGCGGUUACAAUUUUUUCUGUCGCUUUGAAAAAAAAACUAUCUGGAGCAAUCGAUAUUCUGGAUGAAAUUUGUUGGCCUCUUAAUAUGAUAGGAAAAGAAGCCCAACUAAAGCUUGAAAGAAAAUGUCGUAUGAGAAACAUGUGUACAGCAUUUGUUGUGCUAAUUAAUCUAACUGUAAUCAUUGUCAACUAUCCGUGUUUUGGGGAUCAGAGAGAUUUUUUCAUUUGUAUUAAAGUUUUCGAGGAAUAUUUUGGCGAAUGGUGGUCGAUUCCCUACUACUUUUAUUUCAUUACAAUUCCGUUUUUUUGUUAUAAUUACCAUAAGCUUUGUUUUACUUUUGUUUACGCAGUUUUAGAAACGGAAUUGCAAUUCUUUCUCAUUGAAGAAUACUUGUUGGAAACGUUUAAAAUGGGUUAUUUGAAACGUUGGAAAUAUUUAGAAAAUACUCAAUAUCAACAAGAACUAGGAAAAUCGUUACGAUUCACUAUUGCCCAUCACAUUGCAUUAAAAAAGUCCUAAGGCGCUCUCAGUGAAGGAAACCUAUAAUAAAUUAUUUUUAGGAUGGUCAAAGUGAUAGUAAAUGUUACAGUGAAUGGCAUGCCGCUUUUUUUGUUGCUUGGGUUUCUUCUUUACAUUAGUUGUUUUACAUUUGUUAUAAAUCUCGCCGACUCCAUGACCAACAUUUUAAAAAUACGAAUUUUUGUGUGUGGCGCAAGUUGUGUUUCCGUUACUGUUCUUUUGUGUUGGAAUGGCCAACAAAUAAUAGAUGUGACAAACAGCAUUUUCUCUACUUUAAUUGGAGCUCCUUGGUACUUUUGGAAUCUUGACAACAUUAAAAUUCUGCUGAUGUUCAUAACGAAUUGUACCAAGAAUGAUUGCAUUGUUCUGGCCGGGAUUUGCUUGGAUUACAAACUGUUUGUUUCAAUCGUGCAAAUCUCUAUUUCGAAUGCUCUAGUUUUGUUCAAAAUUCGCAACGCUUCUGCCUCUUGAAACAACCAAAAUUAAUAUAAUUUUUUGUAUUUAAAGAUCGAUUGAUUUCAUACAUUUUCUACGAGUACAAAAAACAUUUGAUUUUCUCUUUGAAUUGCUCUCUUUAUGGAUUGUUUUGCCAGAAUUACUAUUUGACAAUUUAUAAAAAAAAUAUUAUUUUGGACAAUCUUGUAGUAUAUACUGAAUUUGUGCACUAAAUUGCAUCGCAGUUAUUUACCUUCACCACCUGGUAUAGCGUUAAGUAGAAUUAACCUUUUAGGCAACAGCUAUGAGCUUAUACAUCAAUUAGUUCGUUUGUUUGUAGUAGUUGUAGUUUUUUAGGUAAUAGAGUUUUUAAUCACUU